AAUGAAAGUAAUGGAGGCGGAAAGCCCCCAGAUUGGCAGGACUUUGUUGUGAUUAUUACAUUGCUGGUGAUAAACUCCACCAUUAGUUUCAUUGAGGAGAACAAUGCAGGCAAUGCAGCAGUAGCUCUCAUGGCUCGUCUAGCUC